AAACGACAUCCUUUCUUCCAUAGAUCCACGCUACCUGAAAGAAGGCCGCCUUCUGAAUCCAACGAUACCAGUUAUGUGCACAUCGGACCUACGCUUCAAAAGAUACGGACAGAUCCACGCUACCUGAAAGAAGGCCGCCUUCUGAAUCCAACGAUACCAGUUAUGUGCACAUCGGACCUACGCUUCAAAAGAUACGGACAGAUCCACGCUACCUGAAAGAAGGCCGCCUUCUGAAUCCAACGAUACCAGUUAUGUGCACAUCGGACCUACGCUUCAAAAGAUACGGACAGAUCCACGCUACCUGAAAGAAGGCCGCCUUCUGAAUCCAACGAUACCAGUUAUGUGCACAUCGGACCUACGCUUCAAAAGAUACGGACAGAUCCACGCUACCUGAAAGAAGGCCGCCUUCUGAAUCCAACGAUACCAGUUAUGUGCACAUCGGACCUACGCUUCAAAAGAUACGGACAGAUCCACGCUACCUGAAAGAAGGCCGCCUUCUGAAUCCAACGAUACCAGUUAUGUGCACAUCGGACCUACGCUUCAAAAGAUACGGACAGGUAAGCUUUGGCCAAUCAGAUCGCAUAUGCUAACGAGGGUGGAAUU